AAAGCAGCAGAGGUGUUGGGUGUUUUUAGCAUUCUCACUCUCACAGCAUUGCUCAGAGUCCAGGCUGAUGAUAAUCUGGGCUGAGAAGCAGAAAGACUCAGUCCCCAGCUGUCCACGGCCCCUCUCAGUACUGUAUGGAAUAGGUAUGCCUCUCAGUGUUUUCCAAUGAUAGCUGUAGCCCUGUCCUGGCCAACUGGUCAGCUGAGCUACCCUUUGCACAGAUGUAUGUGGGAUAGUCUUGGAGCCUAUCCUGUGUACGUGGGAUAGUCUCGGAGCCUAUCCUAUACCACAAGCAGCUUUGGAAUAAACAUCCUCUUUGGUGUGGAAUGAGAGCUUAGUCAUCCAAGGAAAAAAUGCGAAAAGAGGGAGGAAAUGAUUACCUCUGCUUCUUAAAAUCUUUUUGAAUGAACAUGGGUGGAACUGGAAGCGAUUAUCCUCAGCAAACUCAUGCAGGAACAGAAAACCAAAUACCACACGUUCUCACUUAUAAGUGGAGGCUAAAUGAGGAGAACACACUGGGGGCAACACCAGACACUGGGGCCUAACAGAUGAUGGAAGGUGGGAGGAGGGAUAGGAUCAGGAAAAAUAAUUAAUAGCUACUAGGCUGAGUACCUGGGUGAUGAAAUAAUCUGUACAACAAACCCCCUAUCACACGAGUUUACCUAUACAACAAACCUGCACAUGCACCCCUGAACUUAAAAUAAAAGUUAAGAAAAAAAC
rnacentral:lncRNA from 1 species